UACGAAGGGGGCUAGCGUUGCUCGGAAUUACUGGGCGUAAAGCGCGCGUAGGCGGCUUUGCAAGUCGGGUGUGAAAUCCCCAGGCUUAACCUGGGAACUGCAUUCGAGACUGCAUUGCUAGAGUAUGGGAGAGGGAAGUGGAAUUUCCGGUGUAGCGGCGAAAUGCGUAGAUAUCGGAAGGAACAUCAGUGGCGAAAGCGACUUCCUGGACCAAUACUGACGCUCAUGUGCGAAAGCGUGGGGAGCGAACAGG
rnacentral:rRNA from 1 species